rnacentral:rRNA from 1 species
CACGUAGGGCGCAAGCGUUGUCCGGAAUUAUUGGGCGUAAAGAGCUCGUAGGCGGUCCGUCACGUCGGAUGUGAAAUUCCAGGGCUCAACCCUGGACCUGCAUUCGAUACGGGCGGACUAGAGUUCGGUAGGGGAGACUGGAAUUCCUGGUGUAGCGGUGAAAUGCGCAGAUAUCAGGAGGAACACCGGUGGCGAAGGCGGGUCUCUGGGCAGUAACUGACGCUGAGGAGCGAAAGCGUGGGGAGCGAACAGG